AGUCCCGGGUGUGCGAAGGGGCGUAUGCCGGCGAGAAGCCGCGCGCACCUACCGCGCCAUUGUUGAGGGAGUCACUGGGCGCAGCUGGAGUCCGGGACUGCACGUGGGGAGGGGGCGGGCCCAGGACCCGGAGUGGGCUCCUAGCCGAUGGGGGAUCGGUGGUCUGGGACUGCCUGCUUGCGUGGCGGCUCUGGGUAGGAGUGUUGGCACAGCGGCGGUGGGUGGUGGGCAUUACUGUCGGGCGUGGGUGGUCUCCUCUGCAUCUGCAGGGCGUGAGGCUGUGGGUUUGCGGUGUGUGGCCUCAGCAGAUGUGUUGGGGAGGCUUCAUGCUCUGUGAGUAACAACAGUUCUGUCAGCCAUUGCCACCUUACUAUGCGCUUUACAUGCCUUAGUUCACUUGAUCAUCUCAGUGAGUUUUCCUCAUUGUUUCAUUUAUAGAUGAGGAAGGUGAGACACAGAGAGGUCAAGUAACUCUCUUGAUGUCACACAGCUGCUUUAAAUCCAGGCCGUCUGACACCAGGACAGACAAUAUCUGAGCCACGUUGUGGGGCAGGAAGGAGCCGGUCUGGGGAAGAGGAACCCGCUACAUCCAUGUCCACUUUGGUGUCCUGAGGUACCGGUCUGGAGUGAGGGUAGCUUUUCCCGCCUGGCUCCCUGCACAGCAGCAUGUCAGCUUGCAGCAGGAGCAUUAGGAGAAGAAACAGAAACCCACUAGCAGCUGCUGAGACAGGUGUGGUGCCUUCGUCUCUAAUCGAUGCAGGAGGCUGUUGCUGCCCAAGAGCCAUGGCCCACGGAGCAGCCAUCAUGUUAAUCUGUGGUCAUGGCACAGUGUGGAGAGGCUGUCAGGACUCAGAGGGGGGCCACCUGUCCCGUCUGGCCACGGCCCUGACACUGCUUUCAAAAGAUGGUUUCCUCCACUCACUUCUUCUCAUGUUUGUCUGCACCUGUUCGCGGAUCCUUAGGCCUCCUAACCCCUGACUUUUAAACUAAGGUUUGGGGAGGGAAGCCUAGUGAAGUAUGUCUCCAGAUCUGAGAAGGUACCAUGUAGCCUGCCGAGGGAGCCUCCCUUCCUUUCUGCAGGACCACCCCUCGCUCACCCCUGGCCUCUUUCAUCCUGACCAGGCCCACAGUGGGGAAGGAGGGGCACAGAAGGCCCCAACCUUGGCUUUCAGGAGCAGGAUCCAGCUGGCAAGGUAUGGGGGCUAACCUAGCUCACCCAACCUAACCUCCAUGCUACUGUCUUGCCCCACCUCUCUUUGGAGGACCAAGGUGCCUUCCUGAAAAGACCAUGACUGGGGUCAAGGUUCCCUGCAGAACCCCUUCUCCUCCAAGGGCCACUCCCUGACUCCCAGGAGACCCCCUUCCAGGGGCUGUCCAGGGCUUUGGCUAAUCAGUUCACCCCUACCCCCACCCCUACCUGUCUCCCCCUCUUCAUGGGAAAUAGACCUCUCUGCCCACAGGGUCAGAGCCACUUUCCCACAGGGAUCAGACGUCCUUAGUCCUGGACAUUACACUCCUUCCACAAGGAUCUGCUCACUUCUUCCCUCCUAUCCACCUCUGUCCUGGUUUGGCAUCUGGGGCCCCGUGUGCUCCUCUGCACUUCUGACUGAGCCAGAGGUCAGACGGACAGAAUUUUGGCUCUAGAACCACCCCUCGCCUCGCGUUCUGGCCUGGCGGCACCCCGGGGGAACACUGGUGGGCUAGGCGGCCAAAGCCCCUCCUCCGACCCGCAGAGGCCCCGCCCCCUCCCCUUCCUCCGGGCCUCCGCGGAGCCCUCGCUCCUCGCGGUACCCCCUCUGGGGGCCCUCCGCCGCUGGGCCGAGGCCGGAGCCGCGGCCGCCGCCGCCGCCGCCGCCGCCGCCGCCGCCGCCGCCGCCGCCGCCGCCGCCAGGGAGGGGGAGGGGGGUCAUAAAUAACCCGCGGGGCGGCUCGGCCUGAGCAGCGCAGACUGUGACCCGAGACGUCUCCGGGGAACGCGGGGCAGCCCGUAGACCCUGCUGCCCCCAACCCGGGGCUCGGCCAGCCAUGACCGCCUCCUCUGGCGCUAUCUGACCCUGUCCACAACUGGCGUUCCUGCCAGAAGCCUCCCUCCCAUCCUGGAGUGCCUACCUACCCUCAUCCCCAGACUGCUCCCCUUAAAGCCCCCUUUUGAGCCAUUCCUUCACCAAGCAAUCAUUUAUUGAGCACCAGAUGUGGAACCCCGGGAAGAGAGAUGGGUGAGGUUGGAAGAAGAGAGAUGCAGAGGAGACCUGCUCCCUCAGCCUUAGUCUUCCUGAGCUCAUCUAGGGUGACUGUCAGGGUGGGAGAGCAGGCCCAGACAUGCCAGACACAGGAAGGCAUGUAGGGACAGAUCACACAGGUGUGGGCACAGCUGACACAGCUGUGAGGAAGCACAUCCACGGGUACACAUACAUGUGCCCAAAGCCACCAACAGAUGCAUGCCUUCUCAAAAGCUCAUGCCUAUACGCUUCCAUAUGCACGCACAGCAGCUCCCCAAGCUGCACACACAGCACAGAGGCUGACAUCCUCACCACAAACAUGCACAGACAGUAUGUGUGUUAACUUACAUCCAAGAUCAAAGACACCACCAACACCUGUGCAAAAGCAUACAUAGACACACAGGCCUGCAGCAUGAGCACCAGAUGGAUAUAGCCGUCAUACCCAAGACAGCGUGUCUGGAGUAAGGGUCUGAUGGCUGGCAGCAGUGUUCCACUCGGAAGGGUUAGCCUGGGAGGUCAGAGGUCAGUGGCGAAUCAGCUAGGGCUCCUUUACACUCCCUGCUAGAGUGGUCAGAGCUUCCAGGAAUGUGUCGGUUCCCAGCUGCAGGUCAGACACAGGAGGGGCUGCCCUGCUAAGACUUGCCUUGCCUUCGGCCCGCCAUGAGCUGGCUGCAGGCCAUGCCUCAGGAGCAGACAUGUUUCCAAGGCCAGCCUGUUCACCGACCUUAACUGAUGCUAUAUAAAGGAGUAGAGAGAUAGGGCUUAGGGUCAACCCUACAUUCCCCUGUGGGUUCGCAGACUCGGGGCACCGACAGGGCACACGCUGCCAGAGCAUUGGUAACAUAUACCAUGAUAUUCACCUGCUGCAUCACGCGUAAGCAGACACACACACACACACACACACACACACACACACACACACAGUGACCCCAGGCAAAAACACAGUGACACAGGUGAGCUUGACACACCACAGGGUGCACUGGAUACACUCGGAAGCCAUACAGAGGGAGUUGUUGGUCUGGCAACGUGAAUGGGAGUCCUGGCUACCACUGGCUCUGCAAGCCAAGUUCCUCUGCAGGAGGAGUGAAGACACCCGCUCACUGGCGUCACCGGGGACAGAGAGCAGCACCUGCCUCAGGCAGCCUGUCACAUGCUGUGGCCCCUCUUGGGCCUGGGUUGUGCUGGAGUUAGGCUGACACAGGUGGCAAAGGUGGCAGAACCUUCAGUGGCCUGAGAUUUGGGCCCUCCUAGCCAGCCACUGAAUGACCCAGCCUUCUCUGCCCUUCUCAGGACCUUACUUUCUCCAUCUGAAAAUGAGAUAGGGGUUCAAAAUCUGUGGGGUCCUUUGGCCCGGAGCAGAGCAGUCAGGGUGAAAUGUGGCUACAGGUGCCCUGGUCAGCACGGUGAGGCAGGCCUAGCACACUCUUGAUGCUUUCUCCAUAAAUGGGCCCAGAGUACAGGAGCUGGGGGAUGGGUUCACCCCAAGGUAGGGCCAAGCAAAGGGCAGGAAUAGAGUCUUCUAGGGCCCCCGGAGACAGAAGAAUCUGUCCCAAUGAAUGGGCACGUGGGCUGGUUCCACCCCUUUCUGUCCCUGCAAACAUCACCUGGUCUGCGCCUGGACAUGGCCUGGGGUGGGAAGGGGGUCGAGGGGACCCCUGGCCGCAGCUGUUGUCCUGCUGUGUGUCCAUGAGGUUGUGGUCCUUAUCCCUCACGGCACAAGCCACUGCAGCACCGUAAUCGUUCGGAUGUCAGGUCAGGGAGAUGACCAGAGUGGAGUGGCAGAGCUAUCAGGGUGGUGCUGCGCGCAGACUCAGUUCCAGUCCCGUUACACCCCCGCGUCUCGGGAGUGUGCCAGCAGGGGCUGAUUGUGAGGGAAGAGCAGACCCUUACCCGAGAGUGUAGGGCUACCCAUGUGCUCACGUGUGUCUAUGCUGUGUGCUUAUGCGUGAGUGUGCUUUCCUCCUCCUGCGACCACGGUCCUGCUGCUCACGCUCAGGGCAGAUCCCACAUGAAGGCCUUGGGGACCCAUGCUCCUCCCUGUGGGGGUGUAGGCCCUGGAGGGUCAAUCCCAGCUGUGCUGGUCACAUGUUCACUCUUGGCCUGCUCACCUGUUUUGGCCUGGGAAGACCUGUGAGCAUUCGGAACCUACCACGGUCCUGAUAGAGACACUAGGAUGUGCCACCCUCAGUCACAGGGCAGCAGUCAGGCCUCUGGGCGGGAGGAAUGGGUUCAGGUGGGCCUCUGCCAGGACUGUUAGUGGAAGUUGAAGGAGAAAGGACGUUCAGGUGGGGACCCUCGGCACAGAAAUCCUGGAGGAAGAGAGAAGCUGGAGGUAAGGGGCCAGUUGGUGGAGGGCUAGGAGGGUGGGUGGCUGGAAGGUACUGCCCCCAGGCCCAGCUCUGAGAGACUCCCAGCCUCCACAGCGAGCCCAGACUGGCCCUGGAAGUGACUGUUUAUGUUGGACUUCCUGCUAACUGUGAGCUCCCUGCGAGCAGGACUUUUGUUUGUUUUCUGACAUACCCACCACGUGUCAGCGUUUGAGGCUUUUUACAGGGCUCCACCCUGGUGUGGCCCCCUCCACCCUCCCGGCUUGGCCUCCCUGGCCUGAGGCAGCCCCAGGCCUGCUAACCUCUUCUCCCAGCACCUGCCCACUGGGCUUCUGCCCAGGCAGGACUCUGAAUAGCUUCCUAUCCCCCGAAAGUUUCUUAAGGUUUGGCCACAGACAUCGUCUUCUUCAGGGAGAGAGCGAAAACUCCCAAGUCUGGGGGAAUCUCGUGGCCCGGCCUCAUCUACCAUGCUCCGGCAGGGUUGCAACUCUGUGCCUGCCUACCCUGGGAGGAGGGGUGGGUUGUUUGGGCGUACUUCACGCACAGUCCCACCAUCAGGGUCACCCAGACGACCAACAGUCACCUUGUCAUCAUUGAUUUGUCACAUCAGGGGUUUUCAGAAGUAGCAUGCUGAGGUGGUCAGUGAGUUUUACUGUUUCACAACUGCAGCCCAGGCUGGCUUUCUGAGGUGAUAACUUAGCCUGACCCCAUCCAAGGCCCAGUCCUCCUUGCAAGGCUUGGUUGAGUUGGUGAUAUGCCUGCUGAGUGCAAUGAUGUCGUUGUGGGUGCCCGUCUGGGUAUGAGGGUUCCUUUAUUACUGCAACUGUCCGCGUCCUCCACCGGGUCAUUUCAUCUUCCGCGCUGCUGUCUGCGGUUUCACAACAGAGUAGCUCUGCACAUUUUGCCGUGAGAGCGGGAACUCUGUGAUGUCCGACCCUUUGAAGUUCUGCACGGUGCCCCAGGUGCAGCCCCAGAAGUGUGUUGGACUGAAGAGCACAGCCUGGUGUGGGCUGAGACACUGAGCAGAACCCGCCUGCGGAGGCCGGACCCACACCUGCCGUGGGCAGGGGAAGGGCAGCGAUUCCAGGGUUCUGUCCAAGGCCACAACUUGGCACUUUCUCCAGGGCGUUUAACAAAGUCCCAGGUUGGUCCUGGGGGCCUUCCCACCUGUAGACUGGCCAGGCUGCUUGGAGGCCCAUGGGAAGCGCGAGCAGAAGAGACACUUGGCAGGACUGGGGCCAGUCAGAGGGGGUUUUCCCUCUACAUAGAGGAGGGUGGGCAUCCCCAGAUGUGGAGUCCUCAUGCCCUGCUCAGAACAAAGGAGCCUGACCUUUCAUGCUCUGUGUACAUGCAGAUGCUAACAGAUGUCAGCGUGCUGCAGACUCCUUCCAGCAGAACAGAUAGACCGUUCUUUCAGACUGGGUGGCCUUGCAAAAACCUGAGUUUGCCACAUGUUAGCAGUUGAGUAACUGUGUGUCUGAGUCCAGCAGGUGUGUGUGGGCUCCCGGGCUCCUGGGGCUUCAGAGACAGGAUGGGGUGAUUCAUGACUGGUGAGGGGCAAAGCCAGGACUUGGGCUGGGUCAUCCCAUCUUCCAGCCGGGAACAUGGCCCUCAGCAAACUUGUCAGCUUCUGCAUAAACCUUGUUUGGCAUCAACACAUUGGGAUUUUUCUUGGUGCUUCUAGUUGACGCCUUGCUAUGUAUUAGAUGAGCUGCACUCAUGGGCCCUGAGACCCUCCUCUCAGCUCAGCCUCCCCUCUCAUUCCUUCCUUCAGGACCCUCUUCUGCCUCACCCACCCCUCAAGCAUAGGAUGGGUGGGGGGAUGGAUUGAUGGGUGAACGAGGUAUGAUGGGUGAAAGGGUAAGUGGGUUAGGCUUCCACUCUAGGCACCCUUCUCUUUCAUAUGUACUUCUUUACAGGUUAUGGAAUCUGAAAGUCUAUCUUCAGUCCAGACGCUCAAGAGUCUAUAGCCUGCCAUAUGCAUCCACCCCAUGGUCCCCUGGGUCCCUUUUCCACCAUCAUGCUGUCAUGCCUACCUCUCUUGCAGUCACUGAGCUGGCACUACACUCCUCCCCAUGAGCCAAGCAGCUAGCUUCAUCUAUGCUCCCUUCUAGAUUCCUCUCACUGCUGAAUACCUAACCUGGCCCCUCUCACCUAUCAUAUUUCUCUGAUACUCCCAGACUCUGCCUGCACUCACCCAGUGCCUGAUGGGCACAUCUGGCCAACUUGUUCUCCAGGGGCUCCUUUGGGAAUAGUCCAGGACCCCUGGCCUCCAGGCCUUGCCUCUUCCCCAGGGCCCAACUUCCUGUUUCCUUGUCUCCCCUCAGUGUCUCUGAGUGAGGCUGAGUUGUUUCCUCUGCCCAGGAGUGCCACUCCCUAGAAUCACUAACCAAUGGCCCUGUUACCACCCGUGUAGCACCUUUUGUAUUUGGGAGUCCUUUCCUCCACUGAAAAGUUUUAAAUUAUAACUUAUAACUCUAUUGGUAUAAAGAUAAAUAUAGCCCAUGAUAGAUUCAUUCUUCAAUAUUCAUUGUUAUUAUAUUCUUUUUUCAUUCUGGUUUUAAGGGAAAUUAAAAGUAAAAUGUUUUGUGGUCUCUAAUAGUACCAGGAGUCCAGGUUCCGUGCUUCCCUCACCUGGUGGUAAUGUUGGCCCUGCCACCACCUACUUAUCUUUAAGACUCACAGCAGCACCCCCUCCUCCAAGAAGCCUCCUAGGAGUACACUCCAUUCCUGUCAGGGUCCCUUGUACCCCAGGACACCAGCACAUACCCUGGCGCCACAGAUUUACUCCUGUGCUGCUGAGGCCCUGGGCAGAUGAGGGUGUUCAGAGGGGCCAGGUGAAGUCCCCUUGGGGAUGCUGAUUUGGGUGACCUCACUUAGAAGCAAUCCUGGCUGGCUGGUGCAGAGGCUGGGCUGGAAGUAUCAGUAGCAGAGAGAGGUGGUAUUGGCAGAGACUGAGAUUUGGAAGAAAGACUUGACCUCUAGAGAGGGGCGGGCAAGGCCAGCAGAUAUUAUUCCCAGUUCUGGGUGGCAGGAUCCCAGGCCCAGGGUGGCCCAUAGCUGCCAAGACCUUCCUGUGUCCGCCUGUGGGGACUCUGGACAGGUUGUGUCUGUACCUGCGGGUAGAGC